UUAGAUACCCUUAGUGAUUUUUGACUAUGUCAUUAAGUGAAAGAAUUGAUGUUGCUACUUUGGCAUGUUUCCUACGGCUAUGAGUGAUGCGAUUUUACGGGGCAUUCACUACAACAAAUAAUAUUUGUUCCAGCAGUUUUUAAGCCAGCAGUUAUGCUAACUGCUGCUAAAACUAUAUUAUACCAGCGUUUUUUUAUUGUUUCUGUAACAUUUAGUAAACCGUUGGUAUAGGGGUAAUAAUUUUUAAUAUAUAAACAAUG
rnacentral:lncRNA from 1 species